AGGACGAACGCUGGCGGCGUGCUUAACACAUGCAAGUCGAGCGGAAAGGCCCUUCGGGGUACUCGAGCGGCGAACGGGUGAGUAACACGUGAGUAAUCUGCCCCUAGCUCUGGGAUAGCUCCGGGAAACCGGGAUUAAUACCAGAUACGACCACUUUAGACAUCUUCUGUGGUGGAAAGAACUUCGGCUGGAGAUGAGCUCGCGGCCUAUCAGCUUGUUGGUGGGGUAAAGCCUACCAAGGCGACGACGGGUA
rnacentral:rRNA from 1 species